GAAAUGCGAUAAGUAAUGUGAAUUGCAGAAUUCAGUGAAUCAUCGAAUCUUUGAACGCACCUUGCGCUCCUUGGUAUUCCGAGGAGCAUGCCUGUUUGAGUGUCGUGAAAUUCUCAACCUUUCAAGCUUUUGUUUUAAGAAGCUUUUGAAGGGCUUGGAUUUGGGAGUUUGCUGGGUCUAGCGAAUCAGCUCUCCUUAAAUACAUUAGCAAGAUAAUCACUGAAUCAUCUUUGAUAUGAUAAUUAUCUAUAUCGUGGACGAAACAGUGCUUUCCCUUCAGGGGGAAUGAUCUGGCUUCUAACUGUCUCUCGGGACAAUCUUUGACACAUUUGACCUCAAAUCAGGUAGGACUACCCGCUGAACUUAA
rnacentral:rRNA from 1 species